AAAAAUUGUUGACAUCACUGAACAGAGCUCAGUGUGCAGCCCACUGUAUCAAGUCCUAGACCAGCCAACGAAAGCUGCGUUGAACCUAUCCUGCAGCAGAAACACUGGUGAAGAAGCCUGGAGAAACAGAGGCCUGCAGUACCCAGUAACUAACCAGGCUGCACGAAUGGAGCAUGAGAACACCCUACAGCCUGUUAUUUGCUGCAUGUUUCUACGGGCACCAGCAAAGCACAACUUCUAGUAAUGGGAUCAGUAACCCAAGUGACGGAACUGAAAAGCAAGGGGAACUAAUACAGAUGUGGUGCAGCUCGCUUCAGCCAUCUGAGGCUUGGGUUCC
rnacentral:lncRNA from 1 species